ensembl:ncRNA asRNA:CR45001 antisense RNA:CR45001
CGCCAUAAUGUGUCGCUCCUCCCAGAAGAACGCGGAGUCCGGUCGCUUCAUCAUCUCGAAUUUGGACAGCCGCUUCAUGGCGUACACCUGGCUGGAGGACUUGUGCCGCACCAGCUGCACCUCUCCAAAGGCGCCGGCGCCGAUGAGUUUGAUAAAAUGGAAAUCCUCGACGUUCAUGCGCAGCUGAUUGAUCUGCAUUGCCAAUGACAUAACCACUCACAUUUGGCCGCAUACUGCUCGAUGUUCUUAAGCCGCCUCAGGGACUCGUGGUCACAAUCGCUGACCAAGGCCG